rnacentral:rRNA from 1 species
GAGAGAGCUUGCUCUCUUGGAGGAGAGGGGGGCGCGUGAGAAUGUAUGGGGAUACGCGCCCUAGAGGGGGGUAUAUAUACUCAAAAGAGUGUAAUACCCCGUAUACUCCCUACAGGGGAAAGGGGGAACUUCCAAGAUCUCUCUAAUUAUGAACCCCUAUGGGAUAAUAUAUAAGUGGAGGGAAAAAGUUCACCGGGCMCGAUCCGUAGCUGGUGUGAGAGGACGACCAGCCACACUGGGACUGAGACACGGCCCAGACUCCUACGGGAGGCAGCAGUGGGGAAUAUUGCACAAUGGGGGCAAGCCUGAUCCAGCCAUUCCGCGUGUAUGAAGAAGGCCCUUGGGUUGUAAAGUACUUUCAGCUGGGGAAGAAGAGGUAUCUCCUAAUAACGCAAACGAUUGACGGUACCGUCAGAAUAAGCACCGGCUAACUCCGUGCCAGCAGCCGCGGUAAUACGCAGGGUGCAAGCGUUAAUCGGAAUUACUGGGCGUAAAGCGCGCGCAGGCGGUUUAGUAAGUCAGAUGUGAAAUCCCAGGGCUUAACCUUGGAAUUGCAUUUAAGACUGGUCAGCUAGAGUCGUCAGAGGGGGGUAGAUUCCGGAAGUGGUAAGGCCGUGAAAUGCGUAGAACCCGGGGAAAGGCGCCCUUGGAAACUUGACUCAAGACGAAAAGGGGAAAAAA